GACGGAGGAUGCAAGUGUUAUCCGGAAUCACUGGGCGUAAAGCGCAUGUAGGCGGCAUGGUAAGUUCACUGUGAAAGCCCUUGGCUCAACCAAGGAAGUGCAGUGAAAACUGCCAAGCUCGAGUUCUGAAGAGGGUCGCGGAAUGGCCAGUGUAGAGGUGAAAUUCGUAGAUAUUGGCUAGAACACCAGUGGCGAAGGCGGCGACCUGGGAAGAUACUGACGCUGAGAUGCGAAAGCGUGGGGAGCAAACAGG
rnacentral:rRNA from 1 species